ACAUGCUUGCAACAUAGAAUUAAUGCAAAAGAUCCCAAUAGAACUUUGUAGUUAAGUGUACUCAAGCUAGAGUAGUACUGGGAUGGGCGAAUGCUCGGGAAGUCCUAGUUUUUUACAUGUC
rnacentral:rRNA from 1 species